AUUGAACGCUGGCGGCAGGCCUAACACAUGCAAGUCGAACGAGUGGCGGACGGGUGAGUAAUGUCUGGGAAAAUGCCAGAUGGAGGGGGAUAACUACUGGAAACGGUAGCUAAUACCGCAUACCAUCGGAUGUGCCCAGAUUGGAUUAGCUAGUAGGGGGGGUAACGGCUCACCGAGGCGACGAUCCCUAGCUGGUCUGAGUGGAUGACCGGCCACACUGGAACUGAGACACGGUCCAGACUCCUACGGGAGGCAGCAGUGGGGAAUAUUGCACAAGGGGCGCAAGCCUGAUGAAGCCAGGCCGCGUGUAUGAAGAAGGCCUUCGGGUUGUAAAGUACUGUCAGCGAGGAGGCGUUACUCGAAGAAGAAGCACCGGCUAACUCCGUGCCAGCAGCCGCGGUAAUUC
rnacentral:rRNA from 1 species